GCUGUUCGCUUAGAAUGUUUGUUGGCAUUGAGCUCUCGAAACUGAGAGUGAGCCUUACCUCGAACUUGAAAUACUCGUAUAGAUAAGGCGUCUGUUGGCUCUACUUAGUAUAGUCGUCUUUAAUGGCUGUGUCGCACACAAUGGAAUGGAUAUUUUGAGUAUUGGUGCACUGUGAGUAGAGUAGAAAAUCUGGAAAAUAUUUGAGUAUUUCUUUGACAUGUGAAAUUGGCUUCCUGAAGGCAUUACUGACUUUUCUUUUCAAAUUCUGUCUUCGUACUACGCUUACCAAAAAUAUUUCGUACAAAUCUC